rnacentral:rRNA from 1 species
CGUGGGUAACCUGCCCAAGAGAUCGGGAUAACACCUGGAAACAGAUGCUAGUACCGGAUAACAACAGAUGAUGCCUAUCAACUGUUUAAAAGAUGGUUCUGCUAUCACUCUUGGAUGGACCUGCGGUGCAUUAGCUAGUUGGUAGGGUAACGGCCUACCAAGGCGAUGAUGCAUAGCCGAGUUGAGAGACUGAUCGGCCACAUUGGGACUGAGACACGGCCCAAACUCCUACGGGAGGCAGCAGCC